rnacentral:rRNA from 1 species
AGGAGAUAAAAGAACUGUAUCAAGCAUUCAGAAACAAAGACAAACCCUUAUACCUUUUGCAUAAUGUAUUAAAGAGAAAUAACUUUGCACAGAGAGCUAUAGCCAAGUCCCCUGAAACCAGACAGGCUACCCAAGAAUAGCAAAAAGAGCACACUCACCUGUGUGGCAAAAUAGUGAGAAGAUUCAUGAGUAGCAGUGACAACCCUAUCGAGGGCCUGGUGAUAGCUGGUUGUCCAAGAUGGAAUCCUAAUUCAACUUUAAACUUACCCACAGAAUUGCUAAAUCUUCCUGUAAGUUUAACUGUUAGUCUAAAGAGGGACAGCUCUUUAGACCGUAGGAAUCAACCUUCCCACGGAGAUUAAAAAAUGUUACCACCAUAGCUGGCCCCAAAACAGCCACCAAUUAAGAAAGCAUUUAAGCUCAACAUCUAACUAUCUUAGACUCUAAUCACUCUAUUGAACUCCUAACAUCACAGUGGACUAAUCUAUUAUUUAAUAGAAGCAAUAAUGUUAAUAUAAGUAACAUGAAGUUGUUCUCCAUUGCAUAAGCUUACAUCAGACUGGAAUAACACACUGACAGUUAACAGCCUAAUAUUAAAUGAUAUAAUAAGCACCCUAUUAGUUACAAUGUUAACCCAAUACAGGUAUGCCCUAAGGAAAGAUUACAAAAAGUACAAAUCUUACCUUGCCUGUUUACCAAAUCUUACCCUGCCCGUUUACCAAAAACAUCACCUCUAGCAUUACCAGUAUUAGAGGCACUGCCCGCCCAGUGACAUAUGUUCAACGGUGGUGGUACCCUGACCGUGCAAGGUAGCAUAAUCACUUGUUCCCUAAAUAGGAACUUGUAUGAAUAGCCACACAAGGGUUGAACUGUCUCUUACUUUUAAUCAAUGAAAUUGACCUAUCCAUAAAGAGGCGGAUAUAAACAAAUAAGAUGAGAAGAUCCUAUGGAACUUUAAUUCAUUAAUGCAAAUAAAAACUAAUACAAGCCUACAGGCCCUAGCCUCCUAGCCCUGCAUUAAAAAUUUUGGUUGGGGUAAACUUGGAGCAUCAUUCAACCUCCGAACAACCUAAACUAAGACCUCACUAGUCUAAGCGAGUUAAUACACAUUGACUCAAUAAUUUGAUCAAUGGAAUAAGUUACCCUAGGGAUAACAACAAUCCCAUUCUAGAGUCCAUAUCGACAAUAAGGUUUACAACCUCGAUGUUGGAUCAGGACAUCCUAAUGGUGUAGCCGCUAAUAAGGUUCGUUUGUUCAAUGAUCAAAGUCCUACAUGAUCUGAGUUCAGACCGGAGUAAUCCAGGUCGGUUUCUAUCUAUUUAAUGUUUCUCCUAG